rnacentral:rRNA from 1 species
UACAGAGGUGGCAAGCGUUGUUCAGAAUUACUGGGCGUAAAGGGCGCGUAGGCGGUUCGUUAAGUCCUGUGUGAAAUCCCCCGGCUCAACUGGGGAACUGCACAGGAAACUAGCGGGCUUGAGUUCGGGAGAGGGAAGCGGAAUUCCGGGUGUAGCGGUGAAAUGCGUAGAUAUCCGGAGGAACACCGGUGGCGAAGGCGGCUUCCUGGACCGACACUGACGCUGAGGCGCGAAAGCUAGGGAGCAAACGGG